rnacentral:rRNA from 1 species
GACUGAGUGGCGGACGGGUGAGUAACGCGUGGGGAACCUGCCCCAUACCGGGGGAUAACAGCCGGAAACGGCUGCUAAUACCGCAUAAGCGCACAGGACCGCAUGGUCCGGUGUGAAAAACUCCGGUGGUAUAAGAUGGACCCGCGUUGGAUUAGCUAGUUGGCAGGGUAACGGCCUACCAAGGCGACGAUCCAUAGCCGGCCUGAGAGGGUGAACGGCCACAUUGGGACUGAGACACGGCCCAGACUCCUACGGGAGGCAGCAUG